UACGUAGGGGGCAAGCGUUGUCCGGAUUUAUUGGGCGUAAAGAGCGUGUAGGCGGCCAGACAGGUCUGCUGUGAAAACUGGAGGCUUAACCUCCAGACGUCGGUGGAAACCGCAUGGCUAGAGUCCGGAAGAGGAGAGUGGAAUUCCCGGUGUAGCGGUGAAAUGCGCAGAUAUCGGGAAGAACACCCGUGGCGAAGGCGGCUCUCUGGGACGGUACUGACGCUGAGACGCGAAAGCGUGGGGAGCGAACAGG
rnacentral:rRNA from 1 species